rnacentral:snRNA from 1 species
ACACCAUGAUGGGAGAGCCUA